rnacentral:rRNA from 1 species
UACAGAGGUCCCAAGCGUUGUUCGGAUUCAUUGGGCGUAAAGGGUGCGUAGGCGGCGCGGUAAGUCGGGUGUGAAAUCUCGGAGCUUAACUCCGAAACUGCAUUCGAUACUGCCGUGCUUGAGGACUGGAGAGGAGACUGGAAUUUACGGGUGUAGCGGUGAAAUGCGUAGAUAUCGUAAGGAAGACCAGUGGCGAAGGCGGGUCUCUGGACAGUUCCUGACGCUGAGGCACGAAGGCCAGGGGGAGCAAAACGGGG